AUAUAGUUUUGCCAUAAGCGAGGUAUAGAGUUCCUACGUUUUAGUUAAUUUUGUAGGAACUUAAUACCGUGCUCUUGGAGAAUUAUA
rnacentral:pre_miRNA from 1 species